AUACUACCUGGCAGGGUAAAUACCAGGAUCACAGAGUGGUUUCCCAGGGUGAGGCUCACCCAUUGCACUCCAAGUGUGCUGACUCCUGCGAUUUCCCCAAAUGUGGGAAACUCUACUACAUAAUUUGUGGGAUUGGGGGACUGGGUUCUUGCUCUCCCCUG